rfam:Otolemur garnettii contig106396, whole genome shotgun sequence.
AGCUGUGUGGCUCAAAGGAGUAGGGCGCUGGCUCCAUAUGCCAGAGGUGGCAGGUUCAAACCUAGCCCCAGCCA